GUUACAUUUUCUUUCAGUUUGAAUUCAUGUUUAAGGUGUUUCCAGUCUGAUUGUUGCUCAGAUUUUCUUCAUCAAUCAUUUGGAUCGAUUGAACAAACAGUGAAGCUAGAAAGUGUGUGUGAGCUGAUGUGGAUUCAGCAGCAUGGAUCAGUGUGAGGACAGAGAGGAGGGAGUCCCUCCCUCUGAAACCACUCUGUGUGGAAAAGAUGAGAGCCAGAGCAAAGGUCAGAGGAUCCAUCAGAGACUCAAACCAGAACCAGAACCAGAACCCAGCUGUGUGUCCUUUAAGAGUGACUGGUCAAUGGAUCAUCCUUUUUACUUUAAAUCUGCUGGAUCU